GAAUUAUAGGGCGUCUACUUGUAGAGCCUGACCUCCACUUCUAACACUGUGCACUUGAUGGCGAGUCUUGAUGGAAUUGAAGAGUUUUCGGACUCUGAAAUGAAACCUUGACUUGUGGCUUCAUUUUAAACAUUAGUCAAAGUAUGUAAAGAAAUAUUAAACAAAAAAAAAACUUUCAACAACGGAUCUCUUGGCUCU
rnacentral:misc_RNA from 1 species